AUUGAACGCUGGCGGCAGGCCUAACACAUGCAAGUCGAACGAGUGGCGGACGGGUGAGUAAUGUCUGGGCAACUGCCUGAGGGGGGGGGAUAACUACUGGAAACGGUAGCUAAUAGUGCAUACUAUCGGUUGUGCCCAGAUGGGUUUAGCUAGUAGGGGGGGUAACGGCGCACCUAGGCGACGAGCCCUAGCUGCUCUGGGAGGAUGACCAGCCACACUGGAACUGGGACACGGUCCAUACUCCGACGGGAGGCAGCAGUGGGGAAUAUUGCAGCAAGGGCGCAAGCCUGAUGCAGCCAAGCCGCGUGUAUGAAGAAGGCCUUCGGGUUGUAAAGUACUUUCAGCGGGGAGGCGUUACCCGAAGAAGAAGCACCGGCUAACUCCGGGCCAGCCGCCGCGGUAAUAC
rnacentral:rRNA from 1 species